UGAAUAAAGGAAUGUGAGCCUCACUGGAGAAAUUUGAAAUCUAGGGUGGGAUUUGCAAAACCGGUUUAAGGUUUGCGCAUGUACUUUUUUUUUUUUUUUUUGAGUUUGUUUGGGUUUGGAACGUAUUAUAAGAAAAAAUAACAAGGCCUGCCCAUGUGCUUUUCAUAAUUCCUUUGCUUUCCAUAAAAAUCAUUUGGCCCCUCCCCCGAUUUUCCACCAGUUCUUAGUAGCUCCCAUCCGCAAUGUUAAGUGUUCUUAUGUAACAUGAAAUCCAUGAGUUAGGAGUUUGGGGUGAUCCUUUUUUUCCUCAGCCCGAUCACAGGUUUAAUGCUUUUGUUAUGCUUCCAGCUCCAUGCUGCCCAAGUACCUGUUUGGAAACUUGACUCGGUCCCUAAGGGAGGUACCAGGACUUUACAAAUCUCAAUGCCCAGUUCCCUUGUCUUAGCCCCAGAGCAGCUGCAAUAGCCCAUAACCUCAGGGCAGCUCAUGGUGAGCACAGUGCUUUUAUCCCUGCAGCCCUUCACAGCUCUGUCAGGCAUUCUUGCCUCUGGCCCUGGGGUUGAUGUUUAGCAAAAGUGGGAUGGACAGCUUGCACAGGCUGGGAGAUGACAUAGUCAUCGAACACUGGCCACAAGCAGCUUUGACUAGGCUGCUCUUCCUGAGGUCUCCGUGGCCACACUCCCUCCCUGCUAUGCAGACAAACAGCAAAGGCAGAUGUGGCAUGGAAGGAUUAGGAGUUAAGAAGCAGCCAAUCAUGCCUGGAAGAAAGGGAAGUGGGGGUAGGAAACAAAGAGUCUGAUGACCUCUGUAUCAGAAAGGGGGUAUCUGAUGGAGCGGCACUCUUUCCUCUUCUAGGCUUUUUUUCUCAUUAUCAAGUUUUAAGGACUACGGCUGUCCGACUUUGACAUCUUCUUUGUCUUCAACUAUGUACACAUAAACAUGGUAUCCAUCCAGACGUGUCCUGGUUUUAGUUCUGAAAGGUGGUGGACCUUCUAAUAUUCCCAUAGUUCCCAAAGCCUCAUCCAGAGAGUUCUGUAAACUCGUGGAUCCCCGUCAUCUCCUUCCCUCACUCUACAGAACGACAUCACAUCCAAACAGCGAUAUAACAAAGGUGCCCGGGCUAUGGCGUAAGCAGACAAAUGCCACUGGACCUUAUGCGGACACCGUAUGAUUUUACUUAUUUCAUGGAUCUAAAAAAGUCAGCAUCAGAGAAACAGAAAGCACAACAGAGGCUGCCCAUGGGCAGCGAAGAAGGAACUGGAAGACAGCAGGAAGGGAGGUUAUCCACUGACUUCUACCUGGUAAAAUAAAAAUUGUGGAGGCAGGUAUCGGUGAUGAUUGUAGGACAGCAUGAAUGAAUUUAUUGCCACUGAUUUAUAGCUGUAAAAUGGUUAAAGGGGUAAAUUUUGCAAUGUACAUUCACGAUAUAAAUAAUAAUAAUAAUAAUAAUAAUAAUAAUAAUAAUAAUAAUAAUAAUAAUGAUAAUCUAGGCUGUAUUUCAGAUCCAAUUAAGUAGGAAAGGUAAAUCCAAGUGGACAUUCUUUGGAGGUGGAGAAAUGCAUUAAUCAUAUUAUGGCUGCCACCAAGUAGGUCAAAUACCUUAAAAUAGAAAACUGUGGCGUUACAGCCAUCCUCAAAUCAAGGGCAUGGUAGAUAGAAUCUGUUCUAUUAAGAAGAGAAUUGAGCAACACCACAUUCUUUCUCUUAGAGACUGAAUGACCACCAAGUCCAUUAAAUGCGGGUGUCCCUGAAUCAAGAGGGAAGUAAAGGUCGAGAGACACUAAGCCCCGUUGUUCCACGCAAUCGCUGAUCCUGGAAGGAAAAGCCAGAGCUUCACGGUCACGUUUCUACCUUCAUUCCCACGCAAAACCCUUCGCAGAAAUCCAAACUGGCAAAUUCACUCAGAUAUGAGAUCUUUAUGGGGCUUUUGGCAACUUGAUCAGGGACUGGGUAAGAUAAUCCUAGAACUGGCUGCGUGCGUGCGUGCGUGCGUGCGUGCGUGCGUGCGUGCGUGCGUGCGUGCGUGCGUGCGUUCUAUCAGUUCUGAUCCUCUAUAGAGAACCCUGACUAAACAGAGCAUAUAUUCACCAUGUUCAAGGCCAUAGGUUGAAUCCCAAUGUCCCAAACAAACAACAAAAAAGGGGGUAUCUGCAAGAGAAGUAGGGGAUCUCUGUUGAGCACCCGACCAUAUCCUGAGACUGGGAGAAGCCUACAUUUGAGUGGCCGAUGACUAACAGCUGUAGACUUCCUUCCGUCUAGAUAUGCCAUUGCAAUUCAACUGAACAUUCCUUGUGCAGCAAAUGAGAAGAGGGAGGAGGAGGAGGAGGAGGAGGAGGAGGAGCAGCAGCAGCAGCAGCAGCAGCAGCAGCAGCAGCAGCAGCAGCAGCAGCAACUUCCUAAUUGCUAGGUGCAUAGAUCAGAAAAUGACUUGAUGUGUUAUGAAUCUACCUGAAAGAUUAAAUUGUGUGUGACGGUUUCAAUA